rnacentral:lncRNA from 1 species
AGAUGGAGUGAGCUGUGAUCAUACUACGCAGUCCAGCCUGGGCGACAGAAUGAACGUUUGUUUCCUAGGAACAUUUUCAAACCUAUGUAGAAGUAGAAAGAGCAGUACAAUGAGCCCCGUAGUGAAACUCCGUCUCAAAAAAAACCAAAACAAUAACAAUUUUCAGCCACCCUCAGUGAUCUGUGCUUUCCUGAGUGUCCCACUUUCUUUCCUCUGGGCCUUUGCAUAUGAUGUUCCCUUGGCUUGGAAUUCCUUCUUUCAAAGGGUACCCCUUGCCAUGUGUUUGGCUAUUCCUGAGGGAGCUUUAUUUCUGAAGCCCAACAGAUAUCGAUGCCUUCCUCUGGUCUUCCAUGGCCUCAUAUGUCCCACUAUUUCAGGAUGUAGCACUGCGCUGCAAUUGUUCAGGGCCUGUCCCUCUGCUUGGGUCACCUCUCCGAAUCCAAUGCCCAGAGCAGAUCCUGACCCAGACGAGGCUUGAUAAAUGUUUGCUGAAUGACUUUAGAGGGGGCAAAAAUAAAUAUACCAAGCUGUCUGUCCUGAGGUCCCAUCCAGCUUCUAUAGAAGGUACAACACAAAUCUAAGGACAUGACAGCUUGACAGGCAGUGGAGGGUGGUGGUGAUAAGAACAGGCUCUUGAGGCAAGCAGCAUGGGGAUUUGCAAGCUGUGUGAUUUUGGACAAAUUGCAUAACCUAUCUAAGCUUCAGUUUCUUCCCUGGUAAAUGGGAAGAAUAACAGACACUUGAGCAUGAAAUGAAAAAAUGAUGUAAAGCACUUUACACUACACAAGGCACAUAUCUGGCACAUAGUAAAGGCC